rnacentral:lncRNA from 1 species
GGGUUUCCGUUGUUGCUUCCAGCAUGUUUCUUUUACAAAUUCAUGAAAUGCAUGAUCAACCGCGUGAAAGCUUGAAAGUUUCAUCAAAUACAUGAUCAACCAACAGAAAAGUAACACUUAAGCCAACACUGACAUGAUCAAUUACUGCAAAUGUGAGUUUAAGAAUUCGAUUAAACAUGAGAAGAUUUAGUUGUGAUAUCAAUGAGAGAAUUAGUCUAGCUAUGUUAUUCUUACUUCAGGUAUUUCAAUGUAGACCCAGUCAAUGA